CUAAUAGAACACUUUUUAUGUCAUCUUUUUAUUUCUCAGGAAAUAGAAAUACAUUGGAGGAAAAGGCAAAAAGAACUAAAAUAUAUUCAACAAAAAGAAAAUUUCUUUUUCACUCUGACCUGCUAGUUUCCCUCCUCAGAGGCUACUACUAUUACUUUGUUAGACGCAUCAUGUCUCAAAAGGAGUUCAGUUCAACAACAAAUACUAAUUGAGUGUGCAGUUUGUACCAGGCAUGGUGUUAGGUGUUGGAGCAUCAAAGGUCAUUAAGAACCAGCCCUGUAUAAUAGUGGAGACAGGCACAAAACAGAUCAUUUCAAUAUAACAUAAACUUUUUUUUUGUAAGUAUGCAAAGAAUCCAUCUCAGACCUCUCUUUUUGAGUUUCAGAAUCAUUCAUCCAAUUGCCAUGUAUCUGGACAUUGUCAUGUGUAUGUUUCACAGGCAUGUUGAGCUAGACAUGUUUAAAACUGAAUCACCAGUUACCUCCCAAGUGAGUCUGCCUCUGUGUUACCUAAAUCAGAGACUGGCAUCCCAUUUAUCUGGGUACUCAAGCCA
rnacentral:lncRNA from 1 species